rnacentral:rRNA from 1 species
AGUGGCAGACGGGUGAGUAAUGUAUAGGAAUCUACCUAGUAGUACGGAAUAAUUGUUGGAAACGGCAACUAAUACCGUAUACGCCCUACGGGGGAAAGAUUUAUCGCUAUUAGAUGAGCCUAUAUUAGAUUAGCUAGUUGGUAAGGUAAUGGCUUACCAAGGCAAUGAUCUAUAGCUGAUCUGAGAGGAUGAUCAGCCACACUGGAACUGAGAUACGGUCCAGACUCCUACGGGAGGCAGCAGUGGGGAAUAUUGGACAAUGGGCGAAAGCCUGAUCCAGCCAUGCCGCAUGAGUGAAGAAGGCCUUUGGGUUGUAAAGCUCUUUCGGUGAGGAAGAUAAUGACGGUACUCACAGAAGAAGUCCUGGCUAACUCCGUGCCAGCAGCCGCGGUAAUACGGAGAGGGCUAGCGUUAUUCGGAAUUAUUGGGCGUAAAGGGCGCGUAGGCGGAUUAGUAAGUUAAAAGUGAAAUCCCAAGGCUCAACCUUGGAAUUGCUUUUAAAACUGCUAAUCUAGAGAUUGAAAGAGGAUAGAGGAAUUCCUAGUGUAGAGGUGAAAUUCGUAAAUAUUAGGAGGAACACCAGUGGCGAANGCGUCUAUCUGGUUCAAAUCUGACGCUGA